GACGAACGCUGGCGGCGUGCUUAACACAUGCAAGUCGAACGGAAAGGCCCUGCUUUUGUGGGGUGCUCGAGUGGCGAACGGGUGAGUAACACGUGAGUAACCUGCCCUUGACUUUGGGAUAACUUCAGGAAACUGGUGCUAAUACCGGAUAGGAGCUCCUGCUGCAUGGUGGGGGUUGGAAAGUUUCGGCGGUUGGGGAUGGACUCGCGGCUUAUCAGCUUGUUGGUGGGGUAGUGGCUUACCAAGGCUUUGACGGGUAGCCGGCCUGAGAGGGUGACCGGCCACAUUGGGACUGAGAUACGGCCCAGACUGCUACGGGAGGCAGCAGUGGGGAAUAUUGCACAAUGGGCGGAAGCCGGAUGCAGCAACGCCGCGUGCGGGAUGACGGCCUUCGGGGUGUAAACCGCUUUAGCCUGUGACGAAGCGUGAGUGACGGUAAUGGGGAAAGAAGCACCGGCGAACUACGU
rnacentral:rRNA from 1 species